rnacentral:lncRNA from 1 species
ACAUACAUAUUAUAUUUAGCCGGCCCACUGCUGCAAGACCUCACUACACAUCAGUUCCUCCCCAAAUAUCUAGAUCCCCAAAUCUCAAACCCCUAGCUUGGCAGUGCUCCCUUCUCUUGUGAUGUCCACCGCGAGUUAUUCUGUAUCCGGCAUUCGUUGCCAUACCCCAGUAUACCAACUUCCACUUAUGUUCUGCCCCAUUGUCGUGAGCAAGUUGUGGUUCUCGUCUCCGCAAGUAUCCUCAUGAUGGUUAGGUGUUCUACAAGUGCAAAUCGGACAGAGUAAGAUCUUCUCCUUGAUCCCAUUUACCUUUUGGUUACCCAUCCUAUCGAGGCAUCACUAAUUUACUUCAUGGUUGCAUGUUUCCCCAAUUAUAGCUUGCGCAUAAAUUCUAGCAUUGGGAGCUACAGUAUGUGGAGUAUCUGAUUCAGUAACGGUACCUUGUUGGUGCACUACAGUAUGCUAGAGCUACAAGGGAAGAGCUUGAGCAUGAGAAAGCAGUGAAACUAGCCAUUGUUGCAUCCAGUAUCGGCAGCAAUGCCGCUGACGAUCGCAGACUGUUGACGAUGAUGAAUGCUUUGAUACUGAUAGCAAGAGAGAUAUUGUUCCUCAUGAAGUUAGGCCUUGGUCUGGGUUUACUGGUAUGCUUUCUGAUGCUCUUUGUAAUGUUGAUGAAAUGAUAUGAGCAGUCACAUUAGUCUUUCUUGAUGUAUCUUUGUUUCUAUGAGUUGGUAUGGGUUUGUUGCUAUGCUUUAUGAUGCUCUUUGUAAUGCGUAUGACCAGUAACAUUAGUACUUCUGUUUGUAUCUUUGUUUCUAUCAGUUCUGUAUCAAACUAUCGCAAGCUAAAGAGGGG